UACAGAGGGUGCAAGCGUUAAUCGGAAUUACUGGGCGUAAAGCGCGCGUAGGUGGUUUGUUAAGUUGAAUGUGAAAUCCCCGGGCUCAACCUGGGAAUUGCAUUGGAGACUGCAAGGCUAGAAUCUGGCAGAGGGGGGUAGAAUUCCACGUGUAGCAGUGAAAUGCGUAGAGAUGUGGAGGAACACCGGAUGGCGAAGGCAGCCCCCUGGGUCAAGAUUGACGCUCAUGCACGAAAGCGUGGGGAGCAAACAGG
rnacentral:rRNA from 1 species